rnacentral:rRNA from 1 species
GACGUAGGGGGCGAGCGUUGUCCGGAUUUAUUGGGCGUAAAGCGUGCGUAGGCGGCUGCGCAAGUCGGGUGUGAAACCCCGGGGCUCAACCCCCGGAACUGCAUCCGAUACUGCGUGGCUAGAGGUAGGUAGGGGAGAUCGGAAUUCCUGGUGUAGCGGUGAAAUGCGCAGAUAUCAGGAGGAACACCGGUGGCGAAGGCGGAUCUCUGGGCCUUACCUGACGCUCAGGCACGAAAGCUAGGGGAGCGAACAGG